AUUGAACGCUGGCGGCAGGCUUAACACAUGCAAGUCGAGCGAGCGGCGGACGGGUGAGUAAUGUCUGGGAAACUGCCUGAUGGAGGGGGAUAACUACUGGAAACGGUAGCUAAUACCGCAUACCAUCAGAUGUGCCCAUAUGGGAUUAGCUAGUGGGUGGGGUAAUGGCUCACCAAGGCGACGAUCCCUAGCUGGUCUGAGAGGAUGACCAGCCAAACGGGAACUGAGACACGGUCCAGACUCCUACGGGAGGCAGCAGUGGGGAAUAUUGCACAAUGGGCGCAAGCCUGAUGCAGCCAUGCCGCGUGUAUGAAGAAGGCCUUCGGGUUGUAAAGCACUUUCAGCGAGGAGGCGUUACUCGCAGAAGACGCACCGGCUAACUCCGUGCCAGCAGCCGCGGUAAUAC
rnacentral:rRNA from 1 species